AGUACGUGAAACCGCCUAGAGGUAAACGGGUGGAUCCGCAAAGUCGGCCCGCGAAAUUCAGCUCGGAAGGCUGGCGCGAGCGGUGGGUCGGAGAUGCUCCAUGCACUCUCCCGUCGUUCGACGCUGGCUUGACGUGUGCACUUUUCGCGGGCAGAGCGCCACGACCGGUUUUCGGGCAGUCAGAAGGCGGCGAGGAAGGUAGGUGGGCGCUUCGGCGUUUGCUGUUAUAGCCUCGCCUGUCCCGAUCUGCUCGGAGACCGAGGAGCCGCCGCUGGCAAGGCUACCCUGCUCUCCUGGAGGGUUCGACUGGCAGAGACUGGGCGACCGUGUCUGCUGACCGCCUUUCUGGACGGACGGGGGUGAUCUGAGCCUUGCCCCAAGCAAAGGGUCGGUGGCGAAUCGGUCGGCACUCCACCCGACCCGUCUUGAAACACGGACCAAGGAGUCUAACAUGCGCGCGAGUCGUUGGGUAGUACGAAACCCGAGGGCGAAGUGAAAGCGAGGGCCGUCCUCGCGACGUGCUCAGGUGGGAUCCCGUGCCUCUGCGUGCGGGCGCACCACCGGCCCGUCUCGUUCGCGUCGUCGAUGAGGCGGAGCAGGAGCGUGCAC
rnacentral:rRNA from 1 species